CACGCCAUAAACGAUGAGUGCUAGGUGUUGGGGGUCAAACCUCGGUGCCGCAGUUAACGCAUUAAGCACUCCGCCUGGGGAGUACGUUCGCAAGAAUAAAACUCAAAGGAAUUGACGGGGACCCGCACAAGCAGCGGAGCAUGUGGUUUAAUUCGAAGCAACGCGAAGAACCUUACCAGGUCUUGACAUCCUUUGCACGUUUUAGAGAUAGAACAUUCCCUUCGGGGACAAAGAGACAGGUGG
rnacentral:rRNA from 1 species